CUAGUGGGGUCUUUAUUAUUUGGAAAAACAAAAAUGAUCUGGGGCUCUCUCCAUUCUCACCCCAAAUUUUGGAGUAGGUAAUGGCUGUCUACCACCUGGUCCAACAUAUGCCCCCAAACUAAAACAAACACACUCAUUUGCCAUACAAAUUGUUUACGAUUCAUUAAAAAGCAAAAUUGCAUAUCCCUGUGCUGGCCGCUGAGGCCGAGCCUCCACGGCGGAGGGGGCAUUCACUGAGUUGCCUUUGUAUGCUGGGAGGACCAAGCCGCUUCCCACUCUGCAGCCCGGAGGAGCCUGUGUAGCCAGAUGACGCAUGAGACAGACGCUUCCUUGUACAGCUGUUCCUGGGGACUGAGCAGUUUGAAGUUUCCAAAGAUGAAAACAUAUUGAAACAUCCAUCUUCUCUGUGGUAUUCAGUGAAGGCCACCCUUACAACUUAAAGGACAAGAGGUUAUUGUGAAGACCAUGUGAGUACAUGCAUAAGGAAGGACCGUGAAUAUACAAUAUGGUUUAAGUGCAUCGGUUACUAUGUUCCUACCACAAUCCUUUAGGAGCAGCCAUCGGAAGCCACCUGUUUUACAGGUUGAGGAAACUGAGGUCCAGAAAUUGACUCAGGAAGAGAAGAGGGGUGGAAUAUAUUGCAGUCACCCUCAGAGAGCCCCCAACAACCACCUUUCACUUAAUUUGGCAAUAUUCUAUUGGACAAGUCAAGUGAUACCCACAAUGCAAGAAGCUGCCCCCUGACUCCCUGAUGUUGACAUCCGUCAUGGCACCAUAUAGAUAUCCUUCAUGCAUUGUCUUC